rnacentral:misc_RNA from 1 species
ACCAAAAGCGGCAUGCGGCAUUUAAUUUUGCAAUGUUUCAAGUAAUGCUAACACAUUUGUAUCUAAAAGUUUUUACUGACUGUUGUGACUGAGACGCCGAGACUGAUAAUAACAUCAAUUUUUUAUAAACUGUGAUUGAAAGUAAUCAACAGUUAAACGAAAAAAGCCAUUUGUCAUCCGUUUUCAUGGUAGUGAUUGUGGCAAUUGCGCAGAUCUAGGUGUACAUAUGAUGGCAGAUAGGUAUGGACACAUCAACUACAACAUUCUGUAGAUUUUCUCCUUUGAGAACACCAAAUAUACAAAAAAAAAGUUUGAAAAAGUAUGACUCGCCCAUGAAGGACGUCAGUGACACAGAAUCUUUAGCAUCUGUCGUAACCUCAGAGAUUCGUAGCAUUGCACAUGCUGUAAGCAAGAGACUGAAGAAAAGUUCUGAUAUUGGCAUGAUGUCAUCGGAUGAUGAUCUUUUCAUAUCCCAGAGCAAGAAAGUUGCUAGCCCAGUAAAAUCAGCAAGGAAGAGGACAGUUUCUGACAGCAACUCAGACUCUAGUAGUCUUGAUACCAGCUCGGAUUCUGAACCUGAUACUGUGAAAUCACCAACUUCUAAAAACCCAAAAAUGUUAUCACCUAAAAAACGUGUAAAACUUGAAAGUGAAGUUAUUAGUUCAACAAAAAAGUUAAAAUCUCCUAUUAAAUCCUCAAGUAAGUCCAAAAGAAAAGAGAAAGAUCAUGAGAUAAGUGAGGAUUCUGAGGAUUCCUCAUUCUCAGAACAUAACUCUCCAAAAGGGAUGGAGAGUAGUGUAAGUAGUGUGCUCACCUCUACUACUGACUCUUCAAAAGGAAGGAGAGGAAGUGUAAGCAGUGUGGCUUCUUCAAGCUCUUCAGAAGAAAGGAAGAAAAAGUGUGACUCUGAUUCAGCAGACAGUGAUAAAGGUGAUUCAGAUAGUGACAGUAGUAGUGAAUCCAUAGAAAAAAGAAAAAAGGUGAAAAAGAAAAAAAAUAGGGCACACAAUACAUCUGAGGAUUCAGAUUUUGAAACCAGGAUGCCAAAGGCAAAGAAAAAUCAUGAUAAAAGUAAAUCUGUUGUUAGCAAGGAGUCAUCACUUGGUAAAAGUGGUAGCGAAAAGUUACGGUAUAAGAUACCAGAAAAUUUUGAAAUAGACACAUCUCCAAAAUACUUAACUAAAUCAGAAGUGCAAGGGAAACAACUCUGGUUGAUAACAGCUCCAGAUGAUUUUGAUAUAUCAGUAUUGCAUAGACAGAAAAUAGACCUGACUGGUUCCAGUAUAAUAACAGAUGAAGAAGCUGAGGAUGAGAAACAGUAUGAAGUUGUUGCUAGACCAAUUACUAGCCAGGGUCAGAGAUAAGUGGUCAACUGCAAGUAAUAGGUUGGAUCCCAAGUAUGCCCCAAGUGGAAUUGGCCGUAUCUCUCCCAAAGAAACACAGAGUACCGGACGACCUUAAACCAACAUUCGUACCAUUUGGGUCAAAAUCACCAAAUAGACAAAAUGGUGAAGAAUGUCAUAGUAUUGAAAAGGUAGAGAAGCACAAGAAAAAGAAGAAAAAGAAAGA